GACGUAGGGCGCGAGCGUUGUCCGGAUUUAUUGGGCGUAAAGAGCUCGUAGGCGGCUUGUCGCGUCGACUGUGAAAACUUGGGGCUCAACCCCAAGCUUGCAGUCGAUACGGGCAGGCUAGAGUUCGGUAGGGGAGACUGGAAUUCCUGGUGUAGCGGUGAAAUGCGCAGAUAUCAGGAGGAACACCGAUGGCGAAGGCAGGUCUCUGGGCCGAUACUGACGCUGAGGAGCGAAAGCAUGGGGAGCGAACAGG
rnacentral:rRNA from 1 species